rnacentral:rRNA from 1 species
AACACCGCCGCAAAUUGAUGGUACCGCAAGAGGAAGAGACGGCUAACUCUGUGCCAGCAGCCGCGGUAAUACAGAGGUCUCAAGCGUUGUUCGGAAUCACUGGGCGUAAAGGGUGCGUAGGUGGCGUGGCAAGUCAGAUGUGAAAGCCCGGGGCUCAACCUCGGAAUUGCAUCCGAUACUGCCAUGCUAGAGUACUGAAGAGGUGACUAGAAUUCUAGGUGUAGCAGUGAAAUGCGUAGAUAUCUAGAGGAAUACCAACGGCGAAGGCAGGUCACUGGGCAGUUACUGACACUGAGGCACGAAGGCCAGGGGAGCAAACGGGAUUAGAUACCCCGGUAGUCCUGGCAGUAAACGGUGCACGUUUGGUGUGGGCGCAAUCGACCGCGUCCGCGCCGGAGCUAACGCGUUAAGCGUGCCGCCUGGGAAGUACGGUCGCAAGAUUAAAACUCAAAGAAAUUGACGGGGC